UGCCAGCCGCCGCGGUAAUACGGAGGGGGCUAGCGUUGUUCGGAAUUACUGGGCGUAAAGCGCGCGUAGGCGGACUUUCAAGUCAGGGGUGAAAUCCCGAGGCUCAACCUCGGAACUGCCUUUGAUACUGAUAGUCUUGAGUCCGAGAGAGGUGAGUGGAACUCCGAGUGUAGAGGUGAAAUUCGUAGAUAUUCGGAAGAACACCAGUGGCGAAGGCGGCUCACUGGCUCGAUACUGACGCUGAGGUGCGAAAGUGUGGGAGCAAACAGGAUUAGAUA
rnacentral:rRNA from 1 species